rfam:Triticum aestivum genome assembly, contig: Triticum_aestivum_CS42_TGACv1_scaffold_129770_2BL
CUAAUACUCCCUCCGUCCGAAAAAGCUUGUCCAAGAAUUGUUCCUCAAAUGGAUGUAUCUCGCACUAACUUGGUGCAAGAUACAUAAAUUUGAAGGACAAGCUUUUCCUGAUAGAGGGAGUACAUA